rnacentral:lncRNA from 1 species
AAAUGCCCAAGGCCUAUUUAUUUUUUGGGGUGGUAUGUGUCUGAGUAUUCAUAUUUUUAUUAUUUUGACUUGGCAUAAAACAGCUUAUUUCAAGAACUCAUUUUCCUUCUUCAAACAUUAUCAAACUAUUCACUAAGUUUCCAACCAGCUAAUUAAAAUCCUAACACCCAAAUCAUAAAAUAAAAUUCUUAAAUGUGGCCAGGUGCAAUGGCUAAUGCCUGUAAUCCUAGAACUUCGGGAGGCUGAGAUUAUGGGCAUGAGCCACCACGACCAGUGGCCCCUGAAUUUCUGACUGACCCAUUCUAAGCCUAUAUACAACCCCAUUUAUUUAUUUAUUUAUUUAUUUAUUUUUCGGGGGGACGAAGUCUAGCUCUUCCACCCAGGCUGGAUUACAAUGGCGUGAUCUUGGCUCAUUGCAACCUCCACCUCCCGGGUUCAAGCG